UCAAGACUGGAUAUUCAGAAGACUUGUGGUUAGUUCAUUGCACUCAGAUUUGAGAGGUCUAAAUUGCAACCCAAACCAAACCAUUGUGGUGUGUUCCUUGGAAAGAUCAUGUACCUCUGUGUACCUCAAGACUUCAAACAGGUUGCAGAAAACUAUCAGAAGGGGUUUACCUGCAUGCAUCCCAUCCAGGGGGGGAAUAAUAGCACUCAUUGGCACUUCUUGCUGUAGAAACAGUUUUAAGUUCUAAUGGUGUAAGUUAGUGGGUUCAAGAGCAGACUUGACCUUUCUGUUGAUAAUUAUUAUCACAAUUCUAAGAGCAAUAUUCAGUUGAUUUUCAAAGAAAAUAUGAGAUUAUAAUGAUCUCACUUCACUUGAAUCUUCUUUAAUUGAUUAGAGAGACCUUAUACCACCCACACCCAACCUCCCCUGAGACAAAUUCAAAAUUACAAAAAUAAUCAAAAUCACAAGGUGGUCCCUAAUAGAUCGUUCUAUUCUAAUAUUUAAAGAAAGAAAAUGUUUCAGGUUUAGUUAAAAUGAAAAAAAUAUAUAAAUUAUACUUUUUUUACAUUUAAAUGUAGCUUUCUUAUGGUAGCACUGGAGGCUUAUCGCAACAGACAUGAUGCACUGAAUUUUAUGGCCAGUGGAGCCGUGUCAUGAUUGUAUGGCUGUGGGAUACAAGCGCUGUGACAAGUGUUGUGGACGUGGAAGGGUGUAGCCCAUCAAGACCUUUUUUGACCAGCAAGUAAACAUGGGCUCGAAGAGGCUGGUAGACGAACACAGCACCAAGUGGCCUGCCAAGAGCAUUCUUAUGCAGGUAGAUAGAUCUUUAAUCAGAAAAUUUAUUAAAUCAGGUGUUGCCGAGACUUCAAAUCGACAUCAUUUGUAACUUGUUUACCACAAUUUAUUCCGAAACUCUGCCAGUUUUUUACAAAGCC